rnacentral:rRNA from 2 species
UGGGGAAUAUUGCACAAUGGGCGCAAGCCUGAUGCAGCCAUGCCGCGUGUAUGAAGAAGGCCUUCGGGUUGUAAAGUACUUUCAGCGGGGAGGAAGGGAGUAAAGUUAAUACCUUUGCUCAUUGACGUUACCCGCAGAAGAAACACCGGCUAACUCCGUGCCAGCAGCCGCGGUAAUACGGAGGGUGCAAGCGUUAAUCGGAAUUACUGGGCGUAAAGCGCACGCAGGCGGUUUGUUAAGUCAGAUGUGAAAUCCCCGGGCUCAACCUGGGAACUGCAUCUGAUACUGGCAAGCUUGAGUCUCGUAGAGGGGGGUAGAAUUCCAGGUGUAGCGGUGAAAUGCGUAGAGAUCUGGAGGAAUACCGGUGGCGAAGGCGGCCCCCUGGACGAAGACUGACGCUCAGGUGCGAAAGCGUGGGGAGCAAACAGG